rnacentral:rRNA from 1 species
AGACCCGAAACCCGGUGAUCUAGCCAUGGGCAGGUUGAAGGUUGGGUAACACUAACUGGAGGACCGAACCGACUAAUGUUGAAAAAUUAGCGGAUGACCUGUGGCUGGGGGUGAAAGGCCAAUCAAACCGGGAGAUAGCUGGUUCUCCCCGAAAGCUAUUUAGGUAGCGCCUCGUGAAUUCAUCUCCGGGGGUAGAGCACUGUUUCGGCUAGGGGGCCAUCCCGGCUUACCAACCCGAUGCAAACUGCGAAUACCGGAGAAUGUUAUCACGGGAGACACACGGCGGGUGCUAACGUCCGUCGUGAAGAGGGAAACAACCCAGACCGCCAGCUAAGGUCCCAAAGUCAUGGUUAAGUGGGAAACGAUGUGGGAAGGCCCAGACAGCCAGGAUGUUGGCUUAGAAGCAGCCAUCAUUUAAAGAAAGCGUAAUAGCUCACUGGUCGAGUCGGCCUGCGCGGAAGAUGUAACGGGGCUAAACCAUGCACCGAAGCUGCGGCAGCGAACGUAUCACUUAAAGUGAUUCAGCGGGUUACGAUUGACGGAGCGAAGCGACGUCAAAGCGUAUACAAAGUCGAGUCGGUUUAAGGAUACGUUCGUUGGGUAGGGGAGCGUUCUGUAAGCCUGUGAAGGUGGCCUGUGAGGG